CCAUAGUGCGCUGUAACCCUGCAAGUAACCUCUCCCGUCACUUCCUCCAAGAUGGUGGACCUCAAACAACUCCAGGCGUCUCUUCCCAAAGUACCUGGGGCAGGUGGUCUUACCCAAGAAGAACAGAUAGAAUUGGAUUGGGCCGCCAAGGCACACCACCAUGGAGAGGCUCACAUGAAGAUCAUCUCAGCAUUUGAUCCUGCAACAUUAAACUUUACAAGUUAUGAUGAUGACAUAUACAGACAGUAUUCAAGGUGUUUCAAGGGCUUAAAGAUUGAUAUCAUAAACCCUGAUGACCUCAAGUCAGACGAAGCUAGAAUUUUAUGGAAACCCUUCUGUGAAAUGUUCAGAGACAGAAUUCCUCACUACAACUUUGGGACACUUUUAAGACUUGACUGCAACAAGGGGUACACUGAGGAAAACACCAUUUUUGUCACCAAAAUUGAGUUUUAUGCGAUAGAGAUCGCCAGAAAUCGCCAACAUCUAAACAAGUUUCACCUUCGCAAAGAUGAGCAAAAGAAAGAUGCUACCCCAGAAAAUGAAGAAAAGAAAGUAAAAGAUAGUAAUUAAUAGGAGAAACGAUUAGGGGGAAGUUUUGUUGUAUUGGAAUUGUAUAAAAUGGGAGUAAAAUGUUGCUAUUGGUGAAAUUGGUGUAAUUUUUCAUUUUACUACCCAAAGCUACCAAAAGGCGAGGGCCUUGCUAAGCCGCCCAGCCCAAAGAAAUCACUUACAUUUGUUGUUUCGGUGAAAUCCUCAACUAAACAUUACAGUUUUAUAAGACUUUAAACACGAGCUAACAAACUCCUGUGGAGACUCUAGUUUUAUCGAAGUUCAACAAGGGUUUUGGGCUUACAGAUCACGUGACCUUGUGGGUGGCAAACUCAAGCCAAAAUAAACAGACUGCGCCCGUCCCGUCACAGAACAAAGAAAAAAUAAAAUCUUUAAAUGAAGCUAAACCCCUUCUAAAAAAAAAAAACUUUCUGGCUUUAUUCGUAAGCGCUAAAUAAGUAGCUUUUUUGCUGUUAGAGUAGUUUUCAAAAUCCCGUGCAACAAAAUGUAACUACAACUUUGGGACACUUUUAAGACUUGACUGCAACAAGGGGUACACUGAGGAAAACACCAUUUUUGUCACCAAAAUUGAGUUUUAUGCGAUAGAGAUCGCCAGAAAUCGCCAACAUCUAAACAAGUUUCACCUUCGCAAAGAUGAGCAAAAGAAAGAUGCUACCCCAGAAAAUGAAGAAAAGAAAGUAAAAGAUAGUAAUUAAUAGGAGAAACGAUUAGGGGGAAGUUUUGUUGUAUUGGAAUUGUAUAAAAUGGGAGUAAAAUGUUGCUAUUGGUGAAA